CCGUUCUUACAAAAGCCUUAGCCCCUGUUCCUCUUCCACUUCACUGGAGCUCUCUCGCUCGAUGUGGCGUCCUUCUUUUUCUCUCCGUCCAAAUAUCCUUGCCGCGAGCGCUAUCGCCGACCCCGCCGUCAUGUCCUCCUCCCGCCGUCCUUAUCGAGGCCGCCGCAAUCAGUGGUGCAGAGGCUUCUCGGACCGAUCCAACAGCGGCGGAAGAGGCCAGCUAGUCACAGGAGACUCGCACUUAAACUCUGUUCGAGAAGCGAACCUCGGCUUCCGUCGAGGAAAUUUCUCGAAUCAAAACUCUUUUCAGCCUCAGCAAUUCGGUUACCGCCCUAGGCCUCAGUCUCCUUACGACCAAAACCAGCAGCAGUUUCGUCAACCGCCUCCGUCUCAUCCAUACAACCGUUAUCAACGGCCACGCCAAUCGUUUGAUCAAAAUCAAGCUGCUCGGCCCUUCCGGCCACGCAAUUCCAAGCCCUGGGAUUACCGGGAAUGGGAGUACGCAAAAACUCCACCGCCUUCGCAUUCUGAGAGGUUUAUUGUCCUUUCCUAUAAUAUAUUGGCGGAUUACCUUGCUAGUACUCAUCGGAAUCUUUACUUUCAUAUACCUCUCCAUAUGAUGAAUUGGGAGUGGAGAAAGAGGAACUUAAUGUUCGAGCUUGGACUAUGGUCAGCAGACAUUAUGUGUUUCCAGGAGGUUGAUAAAUUUCAUGACCUGGAGGAGCAGAUGAAGUACAGGGGAUAUAGUGGCAUUUGGAAGAUGCGAACUGGCAAUGCUAUGGAUGGUUGUGCAAUUUUUUGGCGAACAUCAAGGUUCAAGUUACUUCAUGAAGAAUAUAUAGAGUUCAACAAGCAUGGACUUCGGGAUAAUGUUGCUCAGAUAUGUGUUCUUGAGUUGUUGAGCCAACAUACCCCUGAAAAUACAUCAGCUCCACUAAAAAGCUCAGCUAAUAAAGUUGUCGUGUGUAACAUUCAUGUGCUAUAUAACCCAAGAAGAGGAGAAAUUAAGCUUGGCCAGGUUAGGAGGCUCCUAGAAGGAGCUCAUUCUGUUUCAAAGAGUUGGGAUGAUGCUCCCGUAGUUCUUUGUGGGGAUUUUAAUUGCACUCCCAAGAGUCCAUUGUACAACUUUAUAUCAGAGCAAAAGUUGGAUUUGUCAGGAGUAGAUAGAGAUAAGGUAUCAGGACAAGCUUCUGCCGAAAUUCCUCCACCAAUGCCAUAUAAUCCUAAUUCCGGCUUGCAAAAAUAUUACAGGGUUCAGUCUUGUGAUAAUUCAGUACAAGUUCCUUCGACAGUAGAUAUCAAGGAAGUUGGUGUGGAUAAGAAUGAUUCUCACUCUGACACACAGAAACAAAAUAAUCUAGACAGAAAUAUCAAAGAUGCUCCUAUAAACAACUUGCCUCGUUUCAGUGAGACAAUGCAGGAUUUCUCAGAUAUGUCUUGCAACAAUUUGCUGACGGAUGGCAAUGGCAGUGCACAAUAUGGUGAAGUGACCACAAGAACUCACCAGAAUGUGAUUGAUGUUGCAAAAGCUGAAACUGGAUCAACAUUCUUCAUUCCAAUUGAUAACUCAAAAAAAAGUUCAAGCUGUUGUCAUAAUGAAGUCAAAUUUCCUAUAGAUGAGAUGGAUGAUGAUAAGCAAAGAUUUUCUCUUGCUAAUUCUUCCUGUAUUGAAAAUGUAUGCUCCGAUGUGACUGAGAUGGAGCAUACAGGAAUAGAUAUCACCAUCCAUUCUAAUGAAGACACAUGCAUUGUGAUGGAUGAUCAUUCUAACAGGGUCAGAACUGACCCUGAGUUUUUGAAUACCUCCAAGUCAACUGGGUCAUUAUGCCAGACUCACUCUCCUGAUUCAGUUGUAGUUUCCCAUCUUGGGAUCUCAGGCAGUCGGUCAUCCCAGUCAAUUGCUAAUGACGACAGUGUUAGUCCUUCAAUUCCUUAUCAAGUCGACUUCUCAGGUCUAUCUGCUGGCAUUGAUAUUGAAGUAGAAGAAAAAAUGGAUAAUUUGUCUCUUGAAGAGCUUAGUAAAGCUAUGGUAGAAGGUGGAACCAUUGUUGAAGACAAUAAUGCAUUUGUAGCUGCAUUGUAUGGUAAUGAAGAUGUCAAUCCAACAAACUCUGGUCUAUCAGUAUCAUCAGAUUUGGAUCAUUCCUCCAAGGAAUUUUUCAGUUCCCAAAACUCCCAGUUUCUAUUACCAAGUGAUGAAAUGCUGGAUGAUUUAUCACCUUCCUUGGAUUCUGAAGGCUCUGAGGUUGAGCAGGCUACUUAUGAUCCAUCAGUGUGGAGCCCAAUGGAAAUAGCCACUGCAACUGGCAGUGAGGACUGCAAUUUUCUAGAACACCCUCUGCAGCUUAAAAGCACAUAUACAGAAGUCAAGGAUUUUUCAGGGACAAGAGACUUGGAUGGGGAGCCUCUUGUAACCAGCUACAACAGGCGUUUCUUUGGCACCGUUGAUUACAUAUGGCGUUCUGAAGGUCUCCAGACAGCUAGGGUGCUUGCUCCAAUUCCGAAACAUGCUAUGCAAUGGACACCAGGAUUCCCAACAAAGGGUUGUCCAUGUUGCUUCUCUGCGGCAUCAUUACGGAACUGGAUUUCACUAGUUGGACUACAUUUUUGGGUUUCAAGGCAAGGCAGGGCAGAGCCCAGUGCGGAUGGUUUCUGUUUCAUCCACUUGUGAUAAUCUGUUAUCUGUACGAAACGUGCUGCAUAUGGAUUUAGCUUGGCUGGGGACUUGAAAGGCUCUCGUUCUGACAGUUUAGCAGUAAAAAAGCCAGACUGGUUUGGUUGGUUUGCACGUGACUCACUGAUAUUGAAGCAUCGACCUCAGUUAUUUCUCUCUUUUACCUGGAAAAGACCAGAGGACCGAUUCUGCCAUUCACACGCACAACCCCAAACAGCUCGUUUUGAGGGACGGACAGCUUCCUCUUUUUUCCAUUCUAUCUUUCGCUCCCCCUUCUCUUCUCUUCUUCCCCCAAGAUUAUACAUACCGGCAUGCUCCAUCUAAACCCUUGGUUUAUUUUUCUUCUUUUAUGACUGAAAGGAGGAUGGACGACGAUGAAGAAUCGAACAGCACGUAAUACAUUCAGAUGUAGCGGUGUUUUUGUCCAACGCUUGUAAAGGGACAAAAGAGGAAGAUUUUGGGUGUCAAGCUGUUCGCCUUUUGGUAGUGGUCGACCGCAAAGUACAAUCGUGCCUUGAUGUUUUCAAACUUUGAGUGCUUCAACGGUUUUCUGCUAAAUGUUUUUUCGGAAGCAAAAAUUCACCCCAUGCAUUUGUC